rnacentral:rRNA from 1 species
GGUGAACGCUGACGGCGUGCUUAAGACAUGCAAGUCGAACGGCAGUCUUCGGACUGUAGUGGCGCACGGGUGAGUAACGCGUAACUGACCAACCCCAAAGUCGCGGAUAACGAUUCGAAAGAAUCGCUAAUACGUGAUGUGCUGUCAGAUUGUGUUCUGCCAGUAAAGCUUGAUUGCUUUGGGAUGGGGUUGCGUUCCAUCAGCUAGUUGGUGGGGUAAAGGCCCACCAAGGCGACGACGGAUAGCCGGCCUGAGAGGGUGGCCGGCCACAGGGGCACGGAGACACGGGUCCCACUCCUACGGGAGGCAGCAGUUGGGAAUCUUCCACAAUGGGCGAAAGCCUGAUGGAGCGACGCCGCGUGAGGGAUGAAGGUCUUCGGAUCGUAAACCUCUGAAUCAGGGACGAAAGACACUUCGGUGGGAUGACGGUACCUGAGUAAUAGCACCGGCUAACUCCGUGCCAGCCGCCGCCGUAACAC